UACGGGGGGGGCAAGCGUUGUUCGGAAUUACUGGGCGUAAAGGGCUCGUAGGUGGCCAACUAAGUCAGACGUGAAAUCCCUCGGCUUAACCGGGGAACUGCGUCUGAUACUGGAUGGCUUGAGUUCGGGAGAGGGAUGCGGAAUUCCAGGUGUAGCGGUGAAAUGCGUAGAUAUCUGGAGGAACACCCGUGGCGAAAGCGGCUCUCUGGGACGGUACUGACGCUGAGACGCGAAAGCGUGGGGAGCAAACAGG
rnacentral:rRNA from 1 species